GGGUCAUCUCAACUUCUCACCUUUCGGUACAGGGGCUGCGCUCUAAGGCAGGGGGGCGCUGGGAGCACCCCUCACGUUUAGGGACGAGGUGAUCCAACAUCUGCGUGGUUGUGGGGGAAACGCGGGUGCUGACCUGGGGGAGGGGCGGGCCGACUGGAGGAACCAACGGGACACCAACGGAACACUACGAAACCCGGACACUACGCUGGUCUGGGCCAAUAGGAGGUCCUCUCCAUAGUGGGUGGAUGACCGACCGACCACCCCUCUCCUAUCCUCACACAGCCUCUCCUGUCUACACCCUGCCUCCUGCCCCUCCCUCCUGCACAAGUCUGCCACCCCAUUGGGCAAAGGACAGGUCCAUCAGAGAGUGAGACAAUGCAUAAGAUAAGACAAUCCAACCGACAAGAGCAUUUACAAAGAAAGGAGGGAGAAAUGGAAUAGAGCAGCAAUCACAAUCCAUGUCCCUCCUUCCUCUCUCUCUCUGUCUCUCUCUCUGUCUCUCUGUCUCUGUCUCUGUCUCUGUCUCUCUCUCUCUCGCUCUCUCAUCUGAUAGUAGGAGGGGGCUUGGCGUGACAGGGCAGGGAUUGCAGAAGUUCUGUGAACAGGGACUCUCCUCCAGCUCAGAACCCAGAAAGGGAGCCUCGUCAUUGGGCUAGAUCUGUGCCUAUGUGCAGAACAGAGCAUGUGUAUACCCUCCCUGUACAUAUCCUCUGUUGAAUCUCACUGGUCUGGUGUUCAGAACAGUCAUCAUCUCUAGGACCAGGAGGUUUUCCAGACCAUGUGAUCUGAGCAGGUAAAACUCCUGUCUAGUCCUCUGAACUCCUUCAGGUAUCAGCUACCGCUUUAGCCUCGCACAGGCUACUAGGUGCUUCAGGUGCUUCUGUAACCCUGGCAACAAUAGAUCAGAGGUCAAGGAAACCCCAAGGUGCACUUCUUUCACCCCCUGCUAGCCACCAGCCUUUCGCUUUAGCACAAAACUGUAUGGAAGAGCCACAACAAACACCAUACUGAGUGCAGAUAUGUACUGCCCCCACCGGCCCAGUGAUGGAUACUAAUCCCAGAAAACACGCUAAAAGUAUUACUGACUAGACAACACAAAAACAAAGCUGUAUUGACAACGAUGGGGAUAGUAUCUAGUUCAUGUAGAAAGAACGCCAUUGAUCAGAUUGUAUCAAUGUUCUGUAAGGUUUUUACUGGCCUUAGUGCCAUAUAACAGGAGGCCAGUCAAACUCAGCUACAGAUAAUGUAUUUUACUGAUGUGUUCAUGUGUAAAGCACACAAACAGACUGAAUAGGGAACAGUGUAGAUGAACAACACACAACUAUCUCUGGCAGUCCCUCAAUGUACUUCUAAUCUAGAUUAUUUUACAAACAUCUCAGAGAAAUAAACUGUAGUUUCUUCAUAUUAGUACUUGCUUCAUAUUAGUGUCCCAUUCGCACCUGAAUCGUUUGAUGUGUUCCAUCUUAUGUAAAACAAUGUUAGGAGUCUACAAGUUUCUGUAGAAUUCAAGGCUGCAACUCAAGCACAACUUAGUUGUCAAGUAAAGCUACCCUCAACCUCCUCAUUCCCCCACCCUGUCUCCUCAUUACCCUCCCAGCCUCAAUAAUAUCCCAUCACCCACUCCAGGAUGCUGUAGGGGUUAGAGGGCGUUGCCAGGGUAACCUCCCUGUAAAUAAUGGCUGACGUUUAAUGUGGUUUUGACUAGAUGAGCUACAGCAUAUGUCAGAAUUGACUUUUCAUAGCAGGUUAGAAGAAUGUACGCAGCAGGUUAGGAGAAUUAGGUUGUUAGGAAAAGGGUUAGAGUUAGCUAAAAUGCUGUAUCCCAUCUAGCCAUGACCGUUUAAUGUCCAAAUGUUUUAUUUACUAUAGCAGAAGAGCACAGAAAUGGAAAGAUGGAAAGAGAAAGUGGUCUAUAUGGAAGAUAGUUUCAUGCAAUGACUGAGGCGAAGAGCAGAGGUUUAUUUUAUAAUGUGAAUACCUUUUUUUGCCAUAUGAUUGCCUAUUGAUAUGAAACUUCUUAUACUGUAUUUAUCUUGUGUGUUUGUUUGAUUCCCUGUGACCCCAUUGUAAAACUGUUGUCAAUUUUCCAGUG